ensembl:miRNA
AGUAGAGGUGGGAUUUCACCAUGUUGGUCAGGCUGGUCUCAAACUCCUGACCUCAGGUGAUCCACCCACC